CUGUCCGUCCACCUGCCGCGCCCCCCGGGCUGAGGUAGGAGGUUGUAUAGUUGAAGAGGACAACCCAGGAGAUCACUAUACGGCCUCCUAGCUUUCCCCAGGCUGCGCCCUGCACGGGACGGGGCCC
rnacentral:pre_miRNA from 15 species